GGUCGUAGGAAUAGGGCAUCGCCUGCAAGGCUGUUCAAAUUGAAUAAAGAGUUGGUUUCUAAUCAAAAAGGUGUUAUUAUUGGAAAAGAGUUUGGAGGCCUGCUGGACCUUGCAGCGAACAGCAUGCCUGGCGAUCUUAGUCAAUGGAUAAUGAAGCAUUAUGAUCCAGAGAUGUCACAGAUAGUUAUUCUAGAGAGGGGGAAGAUUCCAGUAGAUGCUGCGAGUGUUCGGAGGAUAUGGGGUUUGCCAAAUAGGGGGAGAAAAGUCUGUUACGAAAACCGCCCUGAGAUCACAAAGGCAAUGUUCAGGAUUUACAAUAUCACUUCAAAGAAUUCACCAUCUCUCACAGCAUGGUGCAAGAUGAUCAAAGAUAUGGCAGGAGCUCACGAUGACGACUUCCUACGCGCAUGGUUGUCUCUUGUCUUCUCUUGCUUCCUUGCACCAUCUACAAGUUUAAGCAUUUCACCAAAAAGCUUCCCUGCGGUCAUGGAUGUAAAUGGAAUAACUGAAACCAACAUAUUCCAGUUUGUGGUUGAUCAACUAAAGCUAGCAUUCAAAUCAGGUCGUGCCAAGAAGGCCGUUUGUUGCUGUGUUUUCCACCUCGUAUUGCUGUAUCUAGACUCUUUGGAUGUUGAUGAACCAAUUCCCAGCUUGGUACCAAGGGUUUCAGUUUGGAAUUCAGAUUUGAUG
rnacentral:rRNA from 1 species